rnacentral:rRNA from 1 species
AGUGAACGCUGGCGGUAGGCCUAACACAUGCAAGUCGAACGGCAGCACAGUAAGAGCUUGCUCUUACGGGUGGCGAGUGGCGGACGGGUGAGGAAUACAUCGGAAUCUACUUUUUCGUGGGGGAUAACGUAGGGAAACUUACGCUAAUACCGCAUACGACCUACGGGUGAAAGCAGGGGAUCUUCGGACCUUGCGCGGUUGAAUGAGCCGAUGUCGGAUUAGCUAGUUGGCGGGGUAAAGGCCCACCAAGGCGACGAUCCGUAGCUGGUCUGAGAGGAUGAUCAGCCACACUGGAACUGAGACACGGUCCAGACUCCUACGGGAGGCAGCAGUGGGGAAUAUGGGACAAUGGGCGCAAGCCUGAUCCAGCCAUACCGCGUGGGUGAAGAAGGCCUUCGGGUUGUAAAGCCCUUUUGUUGGGAAAGAAAAGCAGCAGGUUAAUACCCCGCUGUUCUGACGGUACCCAAAGAAUAAGCACCGGCUAACUUCGUG